ACGAACGCUGGCGGCGUGCUUAACACAUGCAAGUCGAGCGGUAAGGCCCUUUCGGGGGUACACGAGCGGCGAACGGGUGAGUAACACGUGGGUGACCUGCCCUCAGCUCUGGGAUAAGCCUGGGAAACCGGGUCUAAUACUGGAUAUGACUCCAUGACGCAUGUUGUGGGGUGGAAAGCCUUGUGCGGCUGAGGAUGGGCCCGCGGCCUAUCAGCUUGUUGGUGGGGNGAUGGCCUACCAAGGCGACGACGGGUAGCCGGCCUGAGAGGGCGACCGGCCACACUGGGACUGAGACACGGCCCAGACUCCUACGGGAGGCAGCAGUGGGGAAUCUUGCGCAAUGGGCGAAAGCCUGACGCAGCGACGCCGCGUGAGGGAUGACGGCCU
rnacentral:rRNA from 1 species